rnacentral:rRNA from 1 species
UAGGCCUAACACAUGCAAGUCGAGCGGCAGCGCGGGGGCAACCCUGGCGGCGAGCGGCGGACGGGUGAGGAAUGCAUCGGAAUCUGCCUCGUUGUGGGGGAUAACCUCGGGAAACCGGGACUAAUACCGCAUACGACCGAGAGGUGAAAGUGGGGGACCGCAAGGCCUCACGCGACGAGAUGAGCCGAUGCCGGAUUAGCUAGUUGGCGGGGUAAAGGCCCACCAAGGCGACGAUCCGUAGCUGGUCUGAGAGGAUGAUCAGCCACACUGGAACUGAGACACGGUCCAGACUCCUACGGGAGGCAGCAGUGGGGAAUAUUGGACAAUGGGCGCAAGCCUGAUCCAGCCAUGCCGCGUGUGUGAAGAAGGCCUUCGGGUUGUAAAGCACUUUUGUUGGGGAAGAAAACCUGUUGGUUAAUACCUGGCAGGGAUGACGGUACCCAAAGAAUAAGCACCGGCUAACUUCGUGCCAGCAGCCGCGGUAAAU